UACAGAGGUCUCAAGCGUUGUUCGGAUUCAUUGGGCGUAAAGGGUGCGUAGGCGGCGCGGUAAGUCGGGUGUGAAAUCUCGGAGCUUAACUCCGAAACUGCAUUCGAUACUGCCGUGCUUGAGGACUGGAGAGGAGACUGGAAUUUACGGUGUAGCGGUGAAAUGCGUAGAUAUCGUGAAGGAAGACCAGUGGCGGAAGGCGGGUCUC
rnacentral:rRNA from 1 species